rnacentral:tRNA from 1 species
AGGAUUGUGGCUCAGUGGCAGAGCGCUUGCCUUGCAUGUAUGAAGUACUGGAUUCGAUCCUU